AGAUGGGAGCUUGCUCCCUGAUGUUAGCGGCGGACGGGUGAGUAACACGUGGGUAACCUGCCUGUAAGACUGGGAUAACUCCGGGAAACCGGGGCUAAUACCGGAUGGUUGUUUGAACCGCAUGGUUCAAACAUAAAAGGUGGCUUCGGCUACCACUUACAGAUGGACCCGCGGCGCAUUAGCUAGUUGGUGAGGUAAUGGCUCACCAAGGCAACGAUGCGUAGCCGACCUGAGAGGGUGAUCGGCCACACUGGGACUGAGACACGGCCCAGACUCCUACGGGAGGCAGCAGUAGGGAAUCUUCCGCAAUGGACGAAAGUCUGACGGAGCAACGCCGCGUGAGUGAUGAAGGUUUUCGGAUCGUAAAGCUCUGUUGUUAGGGAAGAACAAGUACCGUUCGAAUAGGGCGGUACCUUGACGGUACCUAACCAGAAAGCCACGGCUAACUACGUGCCAGCAGCCGCGGUAAUACGUAGGUGGCAAGCGUUGUCCGGAAUUAUUGGGCGUAAAGGGCUCGCAGGCGGUUUCUUAAGUCUGAUGUGAAAGCCCCCGGCUCAACCGGGGAGGGUCAUUGGAAACUGGGGAACUUGAGUGCAGAAGAGGAGAGUGGAAUUCCACGUGUAGCGGUGAAAUGCGUAGAGAUGUGGAGGAACACCAGUGGCGAAGGCGACUCUCUGGUCUGUAACUGACGCUGAGGAGCGAAAGCGUGGGGAGCGAACAGGAUUAGAUACCCUGGUAGUCCACGCCGUAAACGAUGAGUGCUAAGUGUUAGGGGGUUUCCGCCCC
rnacentral:rRNA from 1 species